AUGCUUGCUUCGGCAGCACAUAUACUAAAUUUGGAAUGAUACAGAGAAGAUUAGCAUGGCACCUGCACAAGGAUGACACACAAAUUCAUGAAGCAUUCCAUUAAAAA
ensembl:snRNA U6 U6 spliceosomal RNA